GCGAGAUAGCUCAGUUGGCUAGAGCACACGGUUCAUACCCGCGAGGUCGAGGGUUCAAAUCCCCCUCUCGC
rnacentral:tRNA from 1 species